rnacentral:rRNA from 1 species
GAGUUUGAUCCUGGCUCAGGAUGAACGCUAGCGGCAGGCCUAAUACAUGCAAGUCGAGGGGUAACAGGAAAGCUUGCUUUCGCUGACGACCGGCGCACGGGUGCGUAACGCGUGCAACCUUCCUAUUACAGAGGGAUAGCCCGGAGAAAUUCGGAUUAAUACCUCAUAGUAUCACAAGACGGCAUCAGAAAGUGAUUAAAGAUUUAUCGGUAAUAGAUGGGCAUGCGUAAGAUUAGCUAGUUGGUAAGGUAAUGGCUUACCAAGGCUACGAUCUUUAGGGGGUCUGAGAGGAUGAUCCCCCACACUGGUACUGAGACACGGACCAGACUCCUACGGGAGGCAGCAGUGAGGAAUAUUGGUCAAUGGGCGAAAGCCUGAACCAGCCAUGCCGCGUGAAGGAUGACGGCCCUAUGGGUUGUAAACUUCUUUUGUAUAUGAAGAACGUGUCGUACGUGUACGAUUUUGACGGUAAUAUACGAAUAAGUAUCGGCUAACUCCGUGCCAGCAGCCGCGGUAAUACGGAGGAUACAAGCGUUAUCCGGAUUCAUUGGGUUUAAAGGGUGCGUAGGCGGAAUAAUAAGUCAGUAGUGAAAUCCUGCAGCUUAACUGUAGAACUGCUAUUGAUACUGUUAUUCUUGAAUAUAGUUGAGGUAGGCGGAAUGUAUAAUGUAGCGGUGAAAUGCUUAGAUAUUAUACAGAACACCGAUUGCGAAGGCAGCUUACUAAGCUAUUAUUGACGCUGAGGCACGAAAGCGUGGGGAGCGAACAGGAUUAGAUACCCUGGUAGUCCACGCCGUAAACGAUGAUUACUGGUUGUUGGCGAUACACUGUCAGCGACUAAGCGAAAGCAUUAAGCAUUCCGCCUGGGGAGUACGGUCGCAAGAUUAAAACUCAAAGGAAUUGACGGGGGCCCGCACAAGCGGAGGAACAUGUGGUUUAAUUCGAUGAUACGCGAGGAACCUUACCUGGGCUUAAAUGUAGAGUGAUUUUUACUGGGAAACUAGUAUUCCUUCGGGCACUUUACAAGGUGCUGCAUGGUUGUCGUCAGCUCGUGCCGUGAGGUGUCGGGUUAAGUCCCAUAACGAGCGCAACCCCUAUUGUUAGUUGCCAGCGGAUAAUGCCGGGGACUCUAACGAAACUGCCGGUGUAAACCGUGAGGAAGGUGGGGAUGACGUCAAAUCAGCACGGCCCUUAUGUCCAGGGCUACACACGUGUUACAAUGGUCGAUACAAAGGGCAGCUACCUGGUGACAGGAUGCUAAUCUCUAAAAUCGAUCUCAGUUCGGAUCGAAGUCUGCAACUCGACUUCGUGAAGUUGGAUUCGCUAGUAAUCGGAUAUCAGCAAUGAUCCGGUGAAUACGUUCCCGGGCCUUGUACACACCGCCCGUCAAGCCAUGGAAGCUGGGGGUACCUGAAGUCUGUAACCGCAAGGAGCGGCCUAAGGUAAAACUGGUGACUGGGGCUAAGUCGUAACAAGGUAGCCGUA